CCUACGGGUGGCAGCAGUGGGGAAUAUUGGGCAAUGGGCGCAAGCCUGACCCAGCAACGCCGCGUGAAGGAAGAAGGCUUUCGGGUUGUAAACUUCUUUUGUCAGGGAAGAGUAGAAGACGGUACCUGACGAAUAAGCCACGGCUAACUACGUGCCAGCAGCCGCGGUAAUAGGUAGGUGGCAAGCGUUGUCCGGAUUUACUGGGUGUAAAGGGCGUGUAGCCGGGUUGACAAGUCAGAUGGGAAAUCCUGCGGCUUAACCGCAGAACUGCAUUUGAAACGUUUGAUCUUGAGUACUGGAGAGGCAGAUGGAAUUCCUAGUGUAGCGGUGAAAUGCGUAGAUAUUAGGAGGAACACCAGUGGCGAAGGCGGUCUGCUGGACAGCAACUGACGGUGAGGCGCGAAAGCGUGGGGAGCAAACAGGAUUAGAUACCCGUGUAGUC
rnacentral:rRNA from 1 species